GGGGAAUUUUCCGCAAUGGGCGAAAGCCUGACGGAGCAAUACCGCGUGAACGAAGAAGGCUCUAGGGUCGUAAAGUUCUUUUAUCAGGGAAGAAGAAGUGACGGUACCUGAUGAAUCAGCAUCGGCUAACUCCGUGCCAGCAGCCGCGGUAAGACGGAGGAUGCAAGCGUUAUCCGGAAUUAUUGGGCGUAAAGCGUCCGCAGGUGGUUAAUCAAGUCUGCUGUUAAAGACAGAAGCUCAACUUCUGAUAGGCAGUGGAAACUGGUUAACUAGAGUACGGUAGGGGUUGAGGGAAUUCCCAGUGUAGCGGUGAAAUGCGUAGAUAUUGGGAAGAACACCAGUGGCGAAGGCGCUCAACUGGGCCGUAACUGACACUCAGGGACGAAAGCUAGGGGAGCGAAAGGGAUUAGAUACCCCUGUAGUCA
rnacentral:rRNA from 1 species